rnacentral:rRNA from 1 species
GAUGAGCAUGCGUCCCAUUAGCUAGUUGGUAAGGUAACGGCUUACCAAGGCUACGAUGGGUAGGGGUCCUGAGAGGGAGAUCCCCCACACUGGUACUGAGACACGGACCAGACUCCUACGGGAGGCAGCAGUGAGGAAUAUUGGACAAUGGGCGCAAGCCUGAUCCAGCCAUGCCGCGUGCAGGAUGACGGUCCUAUGGAUUGUAAACUGCUUUUAUACGAGAAGAAACACUCCUUCGUGAAGGAGCUUGACGGUAUCGUAAGAAUAAGGAUCGGCUAACUCCGUGCCAGCAGCCGCGGUAAUACGGAGGAUCCAAGCGUUAUCCGGAAUCAUUGGGUUUAAAGGGUCCGUAGGCGGUUUAAUAAGUCAGUGGUGAAAGCCCAUCGCUCAACGGUGGAACGGCCAUUGAUACUGUUAGACUUGAAUUAUUAGGAAGUAACUAGAAUAUGUAGUGUAGCGGUG